rnacentral:lncRNA from 1 species
UGGUAACACACUCUAGGCUGCAAAGGAGGAAAAGAAGGAGGUAGCCAGUGUUGUGUAGGAAGGGGAGAGGAGCACAGACAAGGAGGUGAAAGGUUUCAGUUGGUUGGACCGCAUUCCUGAGCAUCUGCAGCCAGCUUCUUAAAGGAUGGGGUCCCUCUUGAAUUUCCAUCAGACUCAAAGUUUCCUGUGCUGAAGGGCAGAAGGUGAAUACACUGAUAUUUUCUGCUGGAGGAGAGCCUGCAUUGCAGCAGAUCCACAGCUCCACAAUGUACACGGCCAGAGUUAUUCUGAGAGGUAGAGCAAUAACUCUAAUGCAAGACAGGAGACAUAACAAUGGAAGCCAUGGAUGUGGUACUGAUCAACAACACAAAGAUCUGAAGGGAAAAAGAGAUAAAGAGAGAGCAGGGGAGUCACUGUAAUGUUUGUGUGUAAGAAACAAGGAAAAAAAGGCACAAAUGUUCCAGGUCCUGCAGUGUCUGUGACACAGCUGGAAAUCUGCAAUUACACCUGCAUCAUCCUUACAGAAAUUCAGGUGCAGACCCAACGUCUGAGCAUCUGUGGGACCUGUUGCAGCAAAGCUGUUGGAACAGAACAGGCAUCCCCUGAGUUUUGUAAGAUUUCCCGACCUCUAAGCCAAGCUUGAAUGAUUUUUGCACUCUCUCAGCCUUUCUCAACUGGAAUCAAAAAGUAAUAUGUUUUCAUAGGGGCAGCAGACAGCAUGAAACGG